AUGGAAUAAACGUUUCAUCAGUGUUAUUUUUUUCAUUUGCAUGAAUCUUACGUCACUGCUUCCGAAUUCCGAUGGUUAACCAUGAUAUUUGUUUGUGGUGGCGAUGUAGGAAAACGAUCGGUAUACAUUAUGAUGUGCUGAGGCUGCUGACACAUAAUCCGGUUUGUAUCACUGCGUGUAGUACAGUGCGAACUCAUAAGCCAGAUAUAUCGGUGAUACUGAAACGGAAGUGUUAGCCCUAUAUAGAACUAAACUCGCCUGACAUUAUAUACUCAAAGUGGAGGGAAACGGCGAAUAGGGAACUGAUUUUACACCUCGAUCGCGUACACAGUCCGUAGAAGGAUAUGACAGCAACUAGUACAACGCCCCCUGUCGUAGCACAAACGAACAUCUACAAUGCAAAUCCCCAAGAUAGUCCAUGUUUGGAGCGCUUCUAUAAAUGUUCGCUUUGCUUGAUAUGCAUUUCCUUCGUGUUCAUAUUUGCCGGAGUUGCAAAUAUAUUAAUGGGAGUAUUAACCUUCGGCAAUUACUAUGACAGCUUACCGGAAAAGAGUAAGUCUGAUCUGCCGAUACAGAAGAACGCAGGAAUAGCAGUUUUUGUUAUUGGAAUCAUCCUCCUGACCCUGAGCAUCGCCUGGUGUUGCUAUUCCCCACGUCACCUAUCAAACAUACCAACGACGUUCUCUGAAACGGCAAUGACACCAACAGCCGUUGCCCCAAACGCCGCAUAUACACCGGAAAUAGUAUACCUCCCAUUAUCCAGGGAAGUGGAGGAGGAGGAAGAGGAGGAGGAGAGGGAGGAGGCGGUCAACAGACAUUCGUGAAUUCAUAUCAACCUCAGCAACAAGCGGGGUCCUUUCAACCGGUCCAAAUCGGUACGAACCACUACCAACCAGCUGAACCUGCUGUUAUCCAGUACCCACCGGCUCAACCUGCUGUCAACCUGUACCCACCAGCUCAACCAACCCUACAACCAUCAGCUCCUGUGGAAAGACUAUGAGAUCAACAGCCGCCUGCAUAUAGCGAGUUAUUGAACCCCACAAGUGAAAUGGCAAAUUACCUGUCGACCGUCCUUAACUAUCGUUAAAAUUUAGAAGCCUUUUGGCCUCUGUACCAGGGAGUGAUUUUGUUUGUUUUAGCCUCGUCCAUAGUUUCUCGAUUUUUAAAUGUAAAAAAAAAGAGAUGCAUAGUAAUUUUACCAAGUAACAAACCAUGUCAUCUGAAUUGAUUAUCAUCAGGCAGGACAUACAUGUUCUAUCUAUUUAUUUAUAUAUUGACUUCCGUGUUCCUGUGAAUGUCUUUUCAUCUUCCACAGUCUCCUUUCACGGUCUUCUGUUAUCAGGGGAACGACGGGUCUGGUGCAAUAGUAAACCAGGACCCUGCUUCAUAAAAAUUGUUAUAAAUAACCAGAGUUAUAAUUGUUAUAAGCUACUGGCGGUUGAUUGGCUGAGAGCAAACUUUGUCAUAGAUAUUAUUUAACAUAUGCUAUUGAUGGCUAGUUUUAUGAAACCGGGUCCUGACUCAGGCUAAAAUGCUUUACUAUUUAAACCAAAAAAAAUCUGUCUGUCGUAUUUUAUAAAGUGACCGUCAAGUCGACCACUCAAGAGUAUGUUAUCUCAUGUUCACAUGAAUGUACCUUACAUGGUAAACCUUAUUUCGCUUGUCUUUCCUCUUUCAAAUUUGUCUUGUUUAGGUAAUACUAUAUUAGAUUAUGGUGUAUGUAUAUUUCAUGGACAAUAGUUGUAUGUAAUUACAUUUUAGCGUUGUAAUGUUGUGAUUCUUAUAGUGUGUAAAUAUCGAAAAUAAUAUUGUGGUAGGUUGCAGGUAUGUUCUCAAUUGGAAAUGUGUGAUUGUCAGUAGAUGUCCUUUCCCCGUGCUACAUACAAAUGCCUACUAUAUUAGUCUAAUCGAAACCAAUAGCGCUAUAUUUACUUGAUAAAUCAAUGUUUCGUUGUAGGUACAAUUGAAACUUAGAUAUUCGUUUGUAUGCAAUAUAUUAAAGGGUAUUGCAAUGUACGUUUCGAAUUUUAUUAUUAUUUUACAAUCAAAAGUAAAAUAUAAAUGGUGAUAUUUCAUCCUCUUGGAAAGUAAUGAUAAACAUUAUUUGGAAGAAGAAACAAAAAAAGUAAUAUAUCAAUAUAAUCCAUGAAGCACAAUUAUUAUAGCUCUGUGACACGAUGGAAAAUAGUUUAUUACUUUCAUCUCCUUUGUAGUUGGAAUUUCAUCUACUCAAGCCUCAAACCUCCUUGGUUCAUCUUCUAGCCAGUCCAUGUGAUAAAUCCUCACCUUUUCCAGGGCAACACUGAGAUUUAAAAGAAAGUCGAAAUUGUGUGCUUUCCUCAAAGUAACUCGGUAACAUUGUUUAAGCUUGAUGACAAAACUGCGUAUUUUUGGGAUGCAAUGAUACUUAUCAUAUUCCUUCUACUAUACUAACCCUUUAACAUGCACAAAAUCCUG
rnacentral:lncRNA from 1 species